rnacentral:lncRNA from 1 species
AAACUAUCAGAUACCCAUAAGGAAGAGUUGGGAAGAAACACUCCUGUGCUUGUCUCCAGGAGCUUUUCCAGAGAGCUACACCGCAGUGCCUGCACAUUUUGAAUACUUUUCAAGUCCUUUUCCUACUGGUGUGUGCUGAUUUACUGUCCUGCCUGCAGUGUGCCCACUGUCGAUUCUGCCACACAUCUCCAGAAUCAAGCGUCAGUUUAUUUUAAUGUUUGACUAUUUUAUAAACUAACAACUUUUAAAAAUAUUUUUUCAGCUUUUUUAUUUUAAAGAGAAUAAUAAAAAAGAACAAUAGCAAAAUACCAACAACAUAGACAAAAACAAAACAAAGCAAAAACAAUAAAA